UACGUAGGGGGCAAGCGUUGUCCGGAUUUAUUGGGCGUAAAGAGCGUGUAGGCGGCCAGACAGGUCAGCUGUGAAAACUCGAGGCUCAACCUCGAGACGUCGGUUGAAACCGUCUGGCUAGAGUCCGGAAGAGGAGAGUGGAAUUCCCGGUGUAGCGGUGAAAUGCGCAGAUAUCGGGAAGAACACCCGUGGCGAAGGCAGGUCUCUGGGCCACUACUGACGCUGAGAAGCGAAAGCAUGGGGAGCGAACAGG
rnacentral:rRNA from 1 species